rnacentral:misc_RNA from 1 species
ACGAGUUAGGGCCUCUGGCCCGAACCUCCAACCCUUUGUAUCAAACCUCGUUGCCUCGGGGAGGCCCUGCCUCACGGCUGGCCCCCCGAUGGACCACUAAACUCUGCAUCUGUAUGACGUCUGAGUAAAGAUUUUAAUUAAAUCA